AAAAAGACAAACCGUGGGUUCCCGUGCCAACGUUUGACUGUCCGUCUUAUAUGAAAUUUUUUUAAAAUUAGUAUUUUCAUUGUUGUUAGAUGAUAAAACAUGAUUAAUACUUUAUGCGUGACUUAUCUUUUUAAUUUUUUUCAUAUUUUUUUUAAAUAAGACGGACGGUCAAACGUUGAACACGAAAAUCAGGGUUUGUCUUUUU
rfam:Oryza sativa Japonica Group DNA, chromosome 6, cultivar: Nipponbare, complete sequence.